AUUCAAUAUGAAACUGGAUUACAUUUAUCUUAGACAGAACAUCUUAUCUAAUUUGAAAUUGAUAAAUAGGCCUAUAUUUUAUUGUUUCGUAUCGUAUCGUACCGUGCCUCCUCUUAAUAUUGAAACUUAUUAAGGUGGUGAGCUUUGGGACUGCCCCGCCCCGAAUCUUCUAAUGAGUAACCGACUUUCGACGAUGAGGAUUUUACUUGCGAGAAAAUACUAAUUAGAUGUGCACUUAUCGAAUGACGUGAUAUCGUUUCAUCCCGCUUCAUUGUGUUUAUAUUGAGGAGCAAGUACAUUACGAAGCUUAGAAUCGAUAUGAGAUUCCAGUCAGCCAGAAAUAUGACAUCUGCUGUUCACUCAUAAAUAUAAGCUUAGUUGACAUUAUUUGCCAUUCAUUAUCUGUCCUCAUAACUACUUUAAUGGGUUCCUUUUUAUAUCCGAUUUAAAUAAGGUAGCAAAGUCCAACCUAUGACCCAUUUGUUUACACCCACUGACCUGACAAAGCCCUGGUCGGAAAUGAAAAAAAAACUCUUCCGAAGAAUUGUCAGCGAGAAAAGAAGUCCAAAGCCCCAGAAACACAAUAUCGAUUUAUAUUUUCAAUUCAUCCGAUAACGCGACCUUCUCCAUACGAAUCUGGACUCAGUCCCGCUGUGAACAAAGAACGGCAUGGCGAUGCGUGACAAAUACUAGUCGAUUUCUUUGUUUGGUUGUCAGGGCGCGGACAUUGUAACUAAACUGGCUUCUCGUUCAACAUCGACCUCACACACAGGCUAGUCCCUGGGAAAACACACUAGACAUACGUAAGCAAUGACUUGUGUAUGGAUGGAUGUGACGCGUUUCUAAAUUUAGAACAAUGCGAAAGGCUCGCUUGUUGAAAUCGGAAGUACUACACACAUACGGUUGGAUUUUUUGCAGUUUCUUUCGUGUUUACCUGCAUGUUUUGAGGUCAUUUAAGAUUUGACGACCAUGCACUGUACCGUCAAAAACAAUAACAGCCGCGACCAGACUAAAGCUUGAAAUAUUUCGUUGCGCAGUUCCAUCGAAAUUUUUGUUCGUGUCCCAGCAAGCAGUUCACUAGUUACUGAUUUACCACGCGUGAAGUAAGUCGUGAUUACGGGUGAAUAGAGGUGUUCCAGCAUCAGUAUGAUGCAUUACCACGCCGCCAUGAAGAACGCACCAGUAAUACCCACAGUGCAACAGGAACCCAUACCCAGCCCGGGAGUAGCAGUUUGGCGACCAGGUACGUUUUGUUACAAUAUUUGAUGCAUCCAUUGUCAUUCUGGCAAUGAAUAAUGCAAAGUUUAUUUUGUUUUUCUAUAGUCGCAUGAACGCUGCUUUUUAUUUUUCAUCUUGGCAUUGCUAUUUUCACACCGUUUACAUUUUAAUUAUCUAGAAAAUUGAACACACAUCUCUCAGUUUGCAUAAAAAAGCAAGGUUUGAAAAGAACAGGUACGCAGAAUGCGUUUUUUUUUUAUUUCGUAAAAUUAUGCAGAAAUCAAGGUACGCACAUUAUAGAAGACCCGAGCGUAUUAAUUACACUCUGUUCAUUAAUGACCACAGCACAGUCCAUUACGAUAUAGCUCGAGCCUCUACCUCCCAUGCCAUUGGUUGCUCUCCCGUCGCAUAAUGUUAUUCGUAUGACAAAGAGUACAUGACUAAAUUAUGCGUAUCUCAUGAAUGUUAAUCUGACGAGACUUUCCAAGUCGUUGCUGAAUCCCGUAAAUUUCUACAUCACUACUUGUUCAUCUCUUCUCCCUCCGAGCUUUGCAAUG
rnacentral:lncRNA from 1 species